UGCAGAUAAAUGCGAGAAGCAUUGUUAGCGAAUGCUUUCUCAGAAACUUCUUGAAUUUGUACCCGGGAUUCAAGUCAGUAAGAGGCAGUAAAGGACCGUUGCUGUUUGUGGAGCUGGUGAGAUGCUUCACCACGAACACUGAGCUGCAAUUUGAAGAUCCUAAUGUCACCAGUGCUGCCAUGCAUUGGCUUUAUGAACUUUUGCGGAGCGGCGCAUGAUGCAACAACGUUAGCGCAUAUUAAGUUAAAGUAAGACGUUGUCACCUGCUUCUCCUGACCAAUGUUUGAAAUAAACAAACUGGGCUCAGUGUCUGUAGAAAGUUUAUAAAUAGAGCGAUGGAAGGGGUAAAUCAGCGGGGUUUAUCUCUAAAUGCGUCAUGCCUUACGCGAUAGUGUGAUAUCGAAUGACGUCAAUCGCUCAUCUUCCUUGCGUG